CUUUACAGAAAACAAUGACCUUUGCGGAGAUCUCUAAACCCUGGCAACUCAGCAGCAAGCUCAAUUCCAAAAGCAUUCCUCUUGUCUUUCCCAACAGAGUUGAACAACUGGAAAGAAAGGAAGGAACUUUUUAAAAAAAUCACCCAGGUUUUUGGCAAACCUUAGGCGCUCUUUCCCCCACCCUGUAAUUAAGGCAGAAGUAAACAGUAAGAGAAUAUCAAAUUGCAGCUUGCUUCAGUAAUAGGUGCCCAGGUGGAGCUGCAGCUUGUGCAGACCUGUGCCUUGAGACAGAAGGGCAGCCUCUCUGGGGAGCACUCUAACAGGUCCCCAGAUCUGACACAUCAAGAUUAAGUCCUGAAGAUUUGGAGCUGAGUGACAAGAAAGGGUGGUACGCCUACCACAGCAUGGCUGCCAAGCAGUGCCAUGUCCGCACCCGGGAUCCGAACCGGCGAACCCUGGGCCGCCGAGAAGCGGAACGUGAGAACUUAACCACUGCACCACCGGGCCGGCCCCUACAAAUUACCUUUUAAAAAAUAAAAAGAGAUCAUUCAAAGGGUGGUGACAUGAUACACGGUAUAGAUGUGCGCAUGUACUCAACUGAAAGAGGAAUGUUAACAAUAUAAUGAAAUUAGUGUGAGCUGCCGUCACAGCAUGGCCACUGACAGACAAGUGGUGUGCUUCUGCACCUGGGAACCAAACACUGGGCUGCUGAAGUGGAGCACAUUGAACUUUAACCACUGGGCCAUUGGGGCUGGCCCCAUAUCAUCCUUUUUAAGAAUGAUUUUGAUUAUGAUUGCACUCCCUCUCGCCCUCUCACUUGCUCACUCUGAUGAAGCGAGCUGAGCUGCCCUCUUCUGAGCUGCCCUUCUAAGAGGCCCAUGUGGCAAAGACUGAGGGCCACCUCACUGAGAGACCAAAGCCCUCAGUCCAACAGCCCUUGAGGAACUGAAUCUUGCCAAUUCGGUAACUUGACUGAGUUUGGAAGUGGAUCCUUCCCCCGUUUAUCCAAGAGAUGGCUGCAGUCUCCGCUGACACCUUGAUUGCAGCCUUGUGAGAGACCCAAAGCUGGAGGACCCAGCUAAGCCACCGCCAGAUUCCUGACCUACCGGAACUGGAAUAAUUACACAACAACAGAUAAUUAAGACAAAUGAUAAUGUUCAUAACUAGCAUUCUUGAGUGUUAGCUGUAUGUCAGGCACUGUGCUAAGUGAUUUACGUGUGAUUUCUCUUUUCAUCUUCACAGCAGUCCCAUGAAGAAGAUAGUAGUAAUCUCAUUUUAUAGAUGGGGAAACUGAGGCUUAGAGGAAUUCGCCAAAGUUACAGAGCUAGUGAGUAAACUCAGAGUGUAAACCUGUGUAGUCUUGCUCUAGAGCCUGGGUGCUUAAACAGGGUGUUCUGUUUGCUCUGCUACAUCAACUAAUCCCUCUCAUCCUGAAUACACUUUUUGCUGAACUGGCUGGUUUUUUAAAUGGAACUACAUUGCUGUUUUUGAAUAAAGUAAUCCCAGGCCUGGGCCCUUGGUCACCUCAGAGAUGGGCAGGCAAAAGCCAGAGACGGGACCAGCAGCCUUGUGUGAAAAACAUAUUCCGAGCACUUGUGUUCUUUGAUUUGGAGCUGACAUUUGUCCUAGCCGUAGUAACGGAGGAGAGGGAAGGAUGAGAGUGGGGAAGGGUGAUUCAUUAUUUCAGCUCUUGUGUCAGCAUAUCAGACUGUGAGGAUGAAAACAAAUCAAGAGAGAAUGUUGUUGGGAUGGUUCGGAUAUGUUUCAGUUGGGACCUACCAAGAAAAAAGGAAAUAAUACGUAAAGUGUUGUGAUGUAAAACAAUUAUUGUGAGAAUAGUUAUAUUGCUUUUAAAAAAAAACUAUUUUGGAAAUAGCUUUUAUCUCUUUUAAUGUAACAGUAGUUAUUAUUACAUGCUUGAUAUAAUAAAAACAUGAAUAGAACAACUGAGAAAAUUAUAGAGAGUGGAUAUCACCCCCAGUCCCACCCAAUAGCAUUAAACAGAUGGAUAGUUUUUACUGUUUCAUAAUAUGUUUGCCUCUUAUUACGGCUAUCUUUUCAUGUCAAUAACUAGGUCGACAUCAUUGUUUGCAGUGUUCUGCUGUUAAGUAUGUUAAAUCAUUUAUCCAAAAUAAUUUCCUGGAUAUUUAAGUUGCUUCCAGUUUUCUGUAAUAAACAACUCCAUGAAAGGUCAC
rnacentral:lncRNA from 1 species